AGUGAACGCUGGCGGUAGGCCUAACACAUGCAAGUCGAACGGCAGCACAGUAAGAGCUUGCUCUUACGGGUGGCGCGUGGCGGACGGGUGAGGAAUACAUCGGAAUCUACUUUUUCGUGGAGGAUAACGUAGGGAAACUUACGCUAAUACCGCAUACGACCUACGGGUGAAAGCAGGGGAUCUUCGGACCUUGCGCGAUUGAAUGAGCCGAUGUCGGAUUAGCUAGUUGGCGGGGUAAAGGCCCACCAAGGCGACGAUCCGUAGCUGGUCUGAGAGGAUGAUCAGCCACACUGGAACUGAGACACGGUCCAGACUCCUACGGGAGGCAGCAGUGGGGAAUAUUGGACAAUGGGCGCGAGCCUGAUCCAGCCAUACCGCGUGGGUGAAGAAGGCCUUCGGGUUGUAAAGCCCUUUUGUUGGGAAAGAAAAGCAGCAGGUUAAUACGCCGCUGUUCUGACGGUACCCAAAGAAUAAGCACCGGCUAACUUCGUG
rnacentral:rRNA from 1 species